CGAAGCGCCGAAGCCGCGAGGCGACGGGCGUUCUCGCCGGAUGUAGGAACCGACCCGGGGGACCGCCGGGGCAACCCGGCGCCCCCGAGACGGGGCGAACCACGGUGAAAUGACGGAUCGUCGGCCCCGCGCCGGCGACUCGCCGAAUGAGUUUCUGACCUAUCAACUCGAGACGGCGGGGUAGAGGCCCGCCGCGGUAACGACGGGUAACGGGGAAUCAGGGUUCGAUUCCGGAGAGGGAGCCCCGAGAAACGGCUACCACUUCCAAGGAAGGCAGCAGGCGCGCAACUUACCCCUAAUCUCGAUUCGAGGAGGUAGUGACAAGAAAUACCGAUGCGGGACCCUACGGGUGCCGCGUUCGGAAUGAGUACGAUUCGAACCACCUAACGAGGAACGAUCGGAGGGGCAAGUCUGGUGCCAGCAGCCGCGGUAAUUCCAGCUCCAAUAGCGUACGUUAAAGUUGCUGCAG
rnacentral:rRNA from 1 species